rnacentral:RNase_P_RNA from 1 species
UAGGAUAAAUAAUCGCGGCUGCAUGAUGUGCAGAUGAGGAAAGUCCGGGCUUCACAGGGCAGGAUGCCAGAUAACGUCUGGUGGAGGUGACUCCAAGGAAAGUGCAACAGAAAUAUACCGCCGGGGCUUUCUCCACAGGGGAGAGAUUCCGGUGAGGGUGGAAAGGCAGUGUAAGAGACUACCGUCCGUCUGGUAACAGACGGAGCCAUGUAAACCCCAUCCGAAGCAAGACCAAAAGGAAAGCGACAGGUUUGCCCGGCCUGCUUUCAGGUGGGUCGCUGGACGCGGCUGGUGACAGUCGUGCUAGAUAGAUGAUUAUUCGAGACAUAACCCGGCUUACCGUCCUGCUUGC